CAGGAAUCUAUGGGGCAGCCCACAGGUAACGCCCAGCACAAGACCCCAGCGCUGCUAUGGGGCUGGGAGUGUAACAUGGGGGGGAUCUGUGGGGUGGAUCUAUGGGGCGGAUCUAUGGGGGGGAUCUGUGGGGCAGGAUCUAUGGGGCACCCCACAACUGCCCCAACCUAAAGGCCCCAUUGCUAUGGGGCUGGGAGUGUAACAUGGGGCAGAUCUGUGGGUCAGAUCUGUGGGGCGGGAUCUGUGGGGCGGGAUCUAUGGGUCAGGAUCUAUGGGGCGGAUCUGUGGGUCGGGAUCUAUGGGUUGGAUCUAUGGGGUGGGAUCUAUGGGGCGGAUCCAUGGGGCGGAUCCAUGGGUCAGGAUCUAUGGGGCGGGAUCUAUGGGGCGGCUGCGUGUCAGUGGCGAUGUGGGUCGACCCAUCGAUAGGUGCCGUCGUAAAGGAAGCCGACCCGCUUCAGCAGCUCGUCCGCCUCCGCCGGGCCGCGGCUGUGGGGCAGAGCGCAGGGCCGCCCUGAACCCCACCGCUGCCCCACAGCUGCCCCAUAACCGCCCCACAAAUCCCACCGCUGCCCCAUAACCGCCCCACAAAUCCCACCGCUGCCCCAUAGCUGCCCCAUAACCGCCCCAUAAAUUCCACCGCUGCCCCAUAACCGCCCCACAAAUCCCACCGCUGCCCCAUAACCGCCCCAUAAAUCCCACUGCUGCCCCACAGCUGCCCCAUAACCGCCCCACAAAUCCCACCGCUGCCCCAUAAAUCCCAUAGCUGCCCCACAAAUCCCACAGCUGCCGCAUAGCUGCCCCAUAACCGCCCCAUAAAUCCCACAGCUGCCCCAUAACCGCCCCAUAAAUCCCACCGCUGCCCCAUAGCUGCCCCACACAUCCCACAGCUGCCCCAUAGCUGCCCCAUAACCACCUCAUAAAUCCCACAGCUGCCCCAUAACCGCCCCACAAAUCCCACAGCUGCCCCAUAGCUGCUCAUAAAUCCCAUAACUGCCCCA
rnacentral:lncRNA from 1 species